UGCCGUCAGUGGAGAUUCAGCCUUUUCUAACCCAUCUUCUUCUCCAUCUCCAGCCACCAUGAAAGAGGAGCCAUCGCACCAUUUGAGAAGAGAUAUUAAAGCUCAUCAGACACGUUUUGGAAGAGUAGAAGAACGAUCGAUCAAAACUGAGUAUUUCGAAUCCAACUUUUGAGGUUAUGUUCUACACUCAUAGAUCUAUGUUUAUCAGAAAGCGGAUCAUCAUUUGGAUUUUUCAUCUAAUAGUUAUGGACAUUUCUUUGGGGCUACUCGUUGUAGAUCGGAUCCGCCGAUAGUCAACUUCAUCGGUGUUUUCCCGUUGAUCUAGAAGGAACCAGCAAACGAGCGAGAUAUCAUCAGAAAGAUCUCGUUGUCAGCUUUCCAUAUCAUCUUCCCGAUCGUAAAACCAAGGCACGGUUGGAAAGUUAUCGACGUUGCUUCUUGGCCAAGGAUAAGCUGAAGCUUUAGUGAUGCAGAUACAGUUCCGACCAGUGUCAGCGUAAAGGCCAAACGGCCGAUCUAAAUGAAAGCUUUCAAUCUGGAAAUUUGUCAUAUUACUGCAGUCUUCGUUUGCGACCAGCCUGGAGGUAAAGCUAAUUUGGUUAAUCAAAUGGUGUCCGAUCGGAGUGAACUCGGUGUCUAUGGACAGAGGACAUAUAGGACUACAUUAUGACCGGACGGAUUGAAAAGUUAACGAGAGUUCCAGAGUUGCUGUUUCAGAGUCGUCAAGGUUCAUUAUGUGUUUUCUCAGGUUAUCUUCAGAACUCGUGGCAAAGCCACCAUGAAAGAGGAGCCAUCGCACCAUUUGAGAAGAGAUAUUAAAGCUCAUCAGACACGUUUUGGAAGAGUAGAAGAACGAUCGAUCAAAACUGAGUAUUUCGAAUCCAACUUUUGAGGUUAUGUUCUACACUCAUAGAUCUAUGUUUAUCAGAAAGCGGAUCAUCAUUUGGAUUUUUCAUCUAAUAGUUAUGGACAUUUCUUUGGGGCUACUCGUUGUAGAUCGGAUCCGCCGAUAGUCAACUUCAUCGGUGUUUUCCCGUUGAUCUAGAAGGAACCAGCAAACGAGCGAGAUAUCAUCAGAAAGAUCUCGUUGUCAGCUUUCCAUAUCAUCUUCCCGAUCGUAAAACCAAGGCACGGUUGGAAAGUUAUCGACGUUGCUUCUUGGCCAAGGAUAAGCUGAAGCUUUAGUGAUGCAGAUACAGUUCCGACCAGUGUCAGCGUAAAGGCCAA